UAGGGAAUAUUGGUCAAUGGGCGCAAGCCUGAAUCAGCCAUGCCGCGUGCAGGAUGACGGCCCUCAGGGUUGUAAACUGCUUUUAUAUGGGAAUAAAAAAGUCCUUGCGAGGACUCUUGAAGGUACCAUAAGAAUAAGCACCGGCUAACUCCGUGCCAGCAGCCGCGGUAAUACGGAGGGUGCAAGCGUUAUCCGGAUUUACUGGGUUUAAAGGGUGCGUAGGCGGCUUUUUAAGUCAGUGGUGAAAGCCUAGACACUUAAUGUCAGAAGUGCCAUUGAUACUGAAGAGCUUGAGUCGAGGAGAGGUAAGCAGAAUUUAUGGUGUAGCGGUGAAAUGCAUAGAUACCAUAAAGAACACCGAUAGCGAAGGCAGCUUACUAGACAAUAACUGACGCUGAGGCACGAAAGCGUGGGGAGCGAACGGGAUUAGAUACCCCCGUAGUCC
rnacentral:rRNA from 1 species